rnacentral:rRNA from 1 species
CCUAUGGGGGGCAGCAGGCGCGAAACCUCCGCAAUGUGAGAAAUCGCGACGGGGGGAUCCCAAGUGCCAUUCUUAACGGGAUGGCUUUUCAUUAGUGUAAAGAGCUUUUGGAAUAAGAGCUGGGCAAGACCGGUGCCAGCCGCCGCGGUAACACCGGCAGCUCUAGUGGUAGCUGUUUUUAUUGGGCCUAAAGCGUUCGUAGCCGGUUUGAUAAGUCUUUGGUGAAAUCCUGUAGCUUAACUAUGGGAAUUGCUGAGGAUACUGUCAGGCUUGAGGUCGGGAGAGGUUAGCGGUACUCCCAGGGUAGGGGUGAAAUCCUGUAAUCCUGGGAGGACCACCUGUGGCGAAGGCGGCUAACUGGAACGAACCUGACGGUG